UACAGAGGGGGCAAGCGUUAUUCGGAAUUAUUGGGCGUAAAGGGCGCGUAGGCGGCCUGGCAAGUGACGGGUGAAAGCCCUCGGCUUAACCGAGGAACUGCCUGUCAGACUGUUAGGCUUGAGACCGGGAGAGGUAAGUGGAAUUCCCAGUGUAGCGGUGAAAUGCGUAGAUAUUGGGAGGAACACCAGUGGCGAAGGCGGCUCACUGGACCGGUACUGACGCUGAGGCGCGAAAGCGUGGGGAGCAAACAGG
rnacentral:rRNA from 1 species